rnacentral:rRNA from 1 species
GAUCCUGGCUCAGAUUGAACGCUGGCGGAAUGCUUUACACAUGCAAGUCGAGCGGCAGCGCGGGGCAACCUGGCGGCGAGCGGCGAACGGGUGAGUAAUGUAUCGGAACGUACCCAGUCGUGGGGGAUAACUAUCCGAAAGGAUAGCUAAUACCGCAUACGUCCUGAGGGAGAAAGCGGGGGAUCGCAAGACCUCGCGCGAUUGGAGCGGCCGAUAUCGGAUUAGCUAGUUGGUGAGGUAAAGGCUCACCAAGGCGACGAUCCGUAGCUGGUCUGAGAGGACGACCAGCCACACUGGAACUGAGACACGGUCCAGACUCCUACGGGAGGCAGCAGUGGGGAAUUUUGGACAAUGGGGGCAACCCUGAUCCAGCCAUUCCGCGUGAGUGAAGAAGGCCUUCGGGUUGUAAAGCUCUUUCGGCAGGAACGAAACGGUGGGCUCUAACAUAGCCUGCUAAUGACGGUACCUGAAGAAGAAGCACCGGCUAACUACGUG